rnacentral:rRNA from 1 species
GACGAACGCUGGCGGCGUGCUUAACACAUGCAAGUCGAACGGAAAGGCCCUGCUUUUGUGGGGUGCUCGAGUGGCGAACGGGUGAGUAACACGUGAGUAACCUGCCCUUUGCUUUGGGAUAACUUCAGGAAACUGGGGCUAAUACCGGAUAGGAGCUCCUGCUGCAUGGUGGGGGUUGGAAAGUUUCGGCGGUUGGGGAUGGACUCGCGGCUUAUCAGCUUGUUGGUGGGGUAGUGGCUUACCACGGCUUUGACGGGUAGCCGGCCUGAGAGGGUGACCGGCCACAUUGGGACUGAGAUACGGCCCAGACUCCUACGGGAGGCAGAAGUGGGGAAUAUUGCACAAUGGGCGGAAGCCUGAUGCAGCAACGCCGCGUGCGGGAUGACGGCCUUCGGGUUGUAAACCGCUUUCGCCUGUGACGAAGCGUGAGUGACGGUAAUGGGUAAAGAAGCACCGGCUAACUACGUG